rnacentral:rRNA from 1 species
AGUGAACGCUGGCGGUAGGCCUAACACAUGCAAGUCGAACGGCAGCACAGUAAGAGCUUGCUCUUACGGGUGGCGAGUGGCGGACGGGUGAGGAAUACAUCGGAAUCUACUUUUUCGUGGGGGAUAACGUAGGGAAACUUACGCUAAUACCGCAUACGACCUACGGGUGAAAGCAGGGGAUCUUCGGACCUUGCGCGAUUGAAUGAGCCGAUGUCGGAUUAGCUAGUUGGCGGGGUAAAGGCCCACCAAGGCGACGAUCCGUAGCUGGUCUGAGAGGAUGAUCAGCCACACUGGAACUGAGACACGGUCCAGACUCCUACGGGAGGCAGCAGUGGGGAAUAUGGGACAAUGGGCGCAAGCCUGAUCCAGCCAUACCGCGUGGGUGAAGAAGGCCUUCGGGUUGUAAAGCCCUUUUGUUGGGAAAGAAAAGCAGCAGGUUAAUACCCCGCUGUUCUGACGGUACCCAAAGAAUAAGCACCGGCUAACUUCGU